rnacentral:snRNA from 1 species
GGGUGUUCAGAGACGAUCUCCCUUGAGUGUCACUGAGCAAAGACCUUAAUUUGAUAGGUCUUCAUAGCCAUGUGCUCCUUCUCUCUUUAUUAUUCCAUGUUUGUCCCUUCCAAAGCUGUAUACUCAGUAAAAGUGAAGUACUUCUUGGAUAAGGAUAUCCUCUAUUCAAGGGCCUGUGAAUAGCUCUAAUUGCUAGCUAGAACUUCCAAUCACGUUUUCAAGGAUUGUUUAUAGCGGAAAGUAGAGUUGCCAAGCUUAAGUUAAAAAUUUAAUUCCGCUUAUGACUAAGC